rnacentral:rRNA from 1 species
AGUCGAGCGAACAGACGAGGAGCUUGCUCCUCUGACGUUAGCGGCGGACGGGUGAGUAACACGUGGAUAACCUACCUAUAAGACUGGGAUAACUUCGGGAAACCGGAGCUAAUACCGGAUAAUAUAUUGAACCGCAUGGUUCAAUAGUGAAAGACGGUUUUGCUGUCACUUAUAGAUGGAUCCGCGCCGCAUUAGCUAGUUGGUAAGGUAACGGCUUACCAAGGCAACGAUGCGUAGCCGACCUGAGAGGGUGAUCGGCCACACUGGAACUGAGACACGGUCCAGACUCCUACGGGAGGCAGCAGUAGGGAAUCUUCCGCAAUGGGCGAAAGCCUGACGGAGCAACGCCGCGUGAAUGAUGAAGGUCUUCGGAUCGUAAAACUCUGUUAUUAGGGAAGAACAAAUGUGUAAGUAACUAUGCACGUCUUGACGGUACCUAAUCAGAAAGCCACGGCUAACUACGUGCCAGCAGCCGCGGUAAUACGUAGGUGGCAAGCGUUAUCCGGAAUUAUUGGGCGUAAAGCGCGCGUAGGCGGUUUUUUAAGUCUGAUGUGAAAGCCCACGGCUCAACCGUGGAGGGUCAUUGGAAACUGGAAAACUUGAGUGCAGAAGAGGAAAGUGGAAUUCCAUGUGUAGCGGUGAAAUGCGCAGAGAUAUGGAGGAACACCAGUGGCGAA